rnacentral:rRNA from 1 species
AUCUUCCACAAUGGGCGCAAGCCUGAUGGAGCAACGCCGCGUGAGUGAGGAAGGCUUUCGGGUCGUAAAGCUCUGUUGCCAGGGAAGAACGCUUCGGGGAGUAACUGCCCUGAAGGUGACGGUACCUGAGAAGAAAGCCCCGGCUAACUACGUGCCAGCAGCCGCGGUAAUACGUAGGGGGCAAGCGUUGUCCGGAAUUAUUGGGCGUAAAGCGCGCGCAGGCGGUCUUUUAAGUCUGGUGUCUAAGUGCGGGGCUCAACCCCGUGAUGCACUGGAAACUGGGAGACUUGAGUGCAGAAGAGGAGAGCGGAAUUCCACGUGUAGCGGUGAAAUGCGUAGAGAUGUGGAGGAACACCAGUGGCGAAGGCGGCUCUCUGGCCUGUAACUGACGCUGAGGCGCGAAAGCGUGGGGAGCAAACAGG